AUGAACUUUGCCAGUUUUAAAGCACUGGUUCAAAGUUUUCUUUUUUUUAAAAAAAGGGUGAACCAAACAAAACACAUCUGGGAGCCAUAUUUGGUCCUCAGAUGACAAGCUUGCAAUGCCUUGUUUAUAUAUUUGUCUCUCACUUGGUUUCUCUCAUACUUCAUCUCUCCAAAAGCAGUAAUUGCAUUACUCUUUCUGUAUUCUCAGGGCCCAGGAUACUGACCAACUCACAAAAAGGGUCAGGAAAUGUGUGUUGAAAUGAAUAGUACAUUUUGGAAGUGGUCUACUUUGGCAUUAUAGUCCAUGUAGGUUUAUUUGAGGCCCAGCUGGUGACAGCUUUCCAAUUCAAGUUAUGAAGAGCUGGGGAGAGAGCAUAUUUUGACAGCUGAUCAUAAUUCUUGGAAUAUUUUGUCCCAGGGCCCUGGUCUGCCGGGUCUUAGAACUGGGUGCAAAGUCACAUCUUGAAAUUGAUGUUCACGUGAAUUUGAGUUCUUAGUACAGGAAUAGAAUCUAUUCUCUGCCCUGAAGUGAUUUGAUUGUGAAAUGUGUAGCUUUACCAACAAGAACGAAUGAAGUUUAUGUAUACCAUUUAGGGAGGUUUUAAAUUUGGCAGGAAAGUUCCUAAUAAUACAACUUGUUUGGACUUUUCUAUAGAUAAAUUGGGACCCUAACCUUUACCCCAGGAGUGGACAGUGUCAGAACAUGAUUAACCUCUAAGACCGGUAGUCAUCUGUUUUUCAGUGCCAGCAUUACAUGGUAGAAUUUUGUUUUUUGUUUUUUGCAAACCAGUGUAGCCCUUCUUGCUUUCCUGCCUGCAUAAUGGAUUGUUCUGCAUUGCAUAAUUCAUGUCGGGCACCAGGUUUGCUGCACUAGGAUGAGGAAAGGGAUUCAGGUAAUUCAGAUGAGAAAUUUAGUCAGUGCAGUUUUUUUUCUAUCAAGGAGCCAAGAAAGGUCCUCUAUUAAAUUAAAACUAUAAAAUUGUCAGCAAAAGUCCAAUGCAGGGUUAAAAUCUUACUUGGUUUGGACUUGUACUGUGUGUCUUUUCUCUCCUUCUCUAGUCCCCUUUCCCCCUCCAUUUCCAUAUCAGAAUGGAACAUUCCAAUAGACUGUCUAGGAAUUCAAAUUUUAGAUAGGAUAUUCUAUAUGUAAUCCAGAACUUCUGAUGUGAGAUGCAACUUAGGAGAGUUUUCAAGUUUAGACUACUGUAUGCCCCGAUCCACUUCCUUCAUUGUGGUCACUGCUUUUGGAGCACCCAGAAGUCCCCUAGCUUGGCGUGAAGUUUGACUUCUUUCUGCUACUAUAAAAUGCUCAAGGAUAAUGUGGCACAAAAAGCUUAUAUUUCAUGGUGUUUCAGGCUGGGCGAUCCCAGGUUAAAUUUCUGUGCUUUCGUCUUUGUUAAAGAGUUUAGCCAUGUCACAGUGCAAAUGCACAGUUAAGUUCCUCCACAGUGUAUAUGAAACCUGUUUUAUUUCAGUUAGGAUUAGCAGAGCACUCUAGCUGACCCUAAGUGAACUCUAGGUACAUAUGUGAUAAAUGCAUAUUGCUAUAUGCCACUGAGGUUUCGUGAUUGUUAAUUAUAUGGCAUUAUAAUGGCAAUAGGUAACAGAGACAAUGAGAUUCCAUGUUCGAAUGGCUGACACGUGUCCAAAAGCUAUGGGUUAAUUUGGGACUUUGAAUCUUGAGUUUAGGCAAAGAUGGAAAAAAAUCCCCAGUAAUUGUUCAUUCCAGUGUAAGGACAGCAGAUGAGACUGUUGUUUCGGAUACCUACAUCCAAGGAAAUGUCCUGGCUUCUGCCUAUUUGAAUCUAUGAGCCACAUUUAUUAACCCUAUAAAUUUAUUUUUCUUUUAAAAUUAAAAAGAGAAAACUUUUGAAGACACAAAGUGUUAUCUCAAUAUUGAUAUAUUAUACAUGUGUCAUUAUUUAUAAGAGAAAAAUCGGGAAAAUAGGAUGCCCAGCAAAGGAAAAAUUCAUGUAGCUGUUGCCUAGGUAUGUCUCUUCAACUCCGUGGGAAAAUACUGCCAUAGGGAAGAAAGGCCCUGGCUUUCUUAAGCAAUGUGAAUUUGUUUCUGCGACAUUUUAGCUAAAAAUGUAAGCUCAAGAUAUUCUGUGUGAAAUAAAUUAUCCCAAAGAAAGAUAAUUGUGAGAAGAAGCCAUUAAUGGGAAUAAGACAGCUGGUUGUAAGGAUUGGAGGCUUUUUUUUGGUGGAAGGAGCUUAUCCAUGGGGUUUAAUACAACAUGGGUUUUAGUAAUUUAGAGGGACCUUUUCCUCUGUACCAUGCUUGCCCUUUUAAGGCAGAAAGGGAACUCCGGUGGAAAGACAGCAUUGACUAAUAGAACUUUCUGUGAUGAUGGAAUAUUCUUUAUCUACACUGUGCAAUAUUUUAUUCCCUAGCCACAUGUGGCAAUUGUGUACCUGUAAUGUGGCUGAGGAACUGAAUUUUACAUUGUACUGACACACAGUUUAAAUCUAUCUGCUUGUGGCUAGUGUCUACCGUAUUGAAUGGCACAGAAGACAGUGCCUCCACAAAUAGUGAGGACAGUUACAGAUCUUUGGUGUCACAUCCAGCUGCUCCAAGACACGGUUGGAGUGAUACGUUGGGUUGAUGCUUCUUAACUUUGAAAGCUUGGGGUAGAUCAUGUUUUAGUGUCCUUUGGCCUUUUUCUUUUUAAUCGGUACAUUUACCGAUGACAGUUUUCUUAAGCUCAGCAUAUGGUAGUGCGCUCAUUGUCCCAGCUACCUCCAAUGGGAUGGUGGAUUUAGAGAAAGGUCAAAUUGGACAGGUGCCAUGGGAAAUUUAAUUGCAAUUGAGUAUGGAUGAGAGUAUGGCCAAAUGCUGUUAACCAGGCAGUCAGUCUUUGGAAGAAAAUACUCUGCUUUUACAUCCCCUGGUGGUAGCAGAAAGUUACACGUGUGAAAAUAUGCAGGGGCUGCUCCUGUGUGUGUUGGGGUGAGGGUGUAGUGGAGGUUAAAGCCGCGCCCUGCGCGUGUUGAGACACAAGUGCUUGCGUCUUCCCGCACUGACUAACUCCUACUUUCUCCUUGGGGUUCCCGGCAGUGCAACUUGGCACUUCAUGAACGUAGCAAGGUUCUAUGAGACUUAAACAAAAUUGUGGUAAAAUAUACGUAACAUAACAUAAAAUUAACCAUUUUAAUUAUACAAUUAAGUGGCAUUAAGUAUAUUCAGGUUAUUAUGCAGUUAUUACCACCAUCCAUCUCCAGAACUUUUUCAUCUUCUCCUACUGUGCCUAUUACCAACUCCCCAUUCCCCUUUCCCCUGGCCCCUGGUGACCUCUAAAUUUCUUUCUCUGUGAAUUUGACUACUCCAGAUACCUCAUAAAAGUGAAAUCGUACAGUGUUUACCCUUUUGCGACUGGCUUAUCUCAAUUAGUGUAAUGUCCUCAAGAUUCAUCCACGCUGCAGCGUGUCAGAAUUUCCUUCCUUCUAAAGUCUGAAUAAUAUUCCAUUGUGUAUGUACCCCAUUUUGCUCACCCUUCAUCUGUUGAUGGAGAUUGGGUUGUUUCCACCUUGUCCUAUUUGACUUUUAUCUUCCCACUCCCCUUGGAAGCAGGUGGAGUCAGAUUUUCUUGAUGUCCUGACCUCCUCCAUUCUGCUUUUCUUUCUUGCUCAGUUUUGCCUGACUUUCCCUGGGUCUCUCCGGAGCACCACUUACCCAAAGUCUCCAGCUCCGGUGCUGGGGCACAUAUUGCCAGAGUAGAGCCUUGCCAGCAACGUGUCCUCGUCGCUUCUUUGCAAAGGGUGUGUGUAUUGGUCAGCUGUUCUUCGGUCCCGCCAUCAGCUUUGACCCAGUCGACCCUUCCACCUUUCUGGCUUGGAGGCUGUAUGCUCAGUAAUUA
rnacentral:lncRNA from 1 species